rnacentral:rRNA from 1 species
AACGAACGCUGGCGGCAUGCCUAACACAUGCAAGUCGAACGAGACCUUCGGGUCUAGUUGCGCACGGGUGCGUAACGCGUGGGAACCUGCCCUUAGGUUCGGAAUAACUCCCCGAAGGGGGUGCUAAUACCGGAUAAUGUCUUCGGACCAAAGAUUUAUGGCCAUGGGAUGGGCCCGCGUUGGAUUAGCUAGUUGGUAGGGUAAAAGCCUACCAAGGCGAGGAUCCAGGGCUGGUCGGGUAGGAGGACCAGCUACACUGGGACUGAGACACGGCCUCGACUGCUACGGGAGGGAGCAGAGGGGAAUACUGGACGAUGGGGGAAGGCGUGAUCCAGCAAUGCCGGGGGAGUGAUGAUGGGCGUAGGGUUGUAAAGCUCUUUUACACGAGAUGAUAAUGACAGUAACGGGAGAAUAAGCUCCGGCUAACUCCGUG